rnacentral:rRNA from 1 species
UACGUAGGGGGCAAGCGUUGUCCGGAUUUAUUGGGCGUAAAGCGCACGCAGGCGGUCUCUUAAGUUUUGAGUGACAGGUGGUGGCUCAACUACCACAGGCCUUGGAAAACUGGGAGACUUGAGGACUUCAGAGGGAUGCGGAAUUCCUGGUGUAGCGGUGAAAUGCGCAGAUAUCAGGAGGAACACCGAUGGCGAAGGCAGGUCUCUGGGCAUUAACUGACGCUGAGGAGCGAAAGCAUGGGGAGCGAACAGG